UACGUAGGGGACGAGCGUUGUCCGGAUUCAUUGGGCGGUAAAGCGCGCGUAGGCGCUCGGAAAGUCGGUCGUGAAAUGCCGGGGCUCAACCCCGGGACUGCGUCCGAUACUCCCGAGCUGGAGGCAGGUAGGGGAGAUCGGAAUUCCUGGUGUAGCGGUGAAAUGCGCAGAUAUCAGGAGGAACACCGGUGGCGAAGGCGGAUCUCUGGGCCUUGCCUGACGCUGAGGCGCGAAAGCUAGGGGAGCGAACAGGAUAGAUA
rnacentral:rRNA from 1 species